rnacentral:rRNA from 1 species
AGGAGUGGUUCUUGGUAAACAAUUGAGAGAGUUGAAGUUCUUUCAUGAUCUUGUGAGAGGUGGUGCAUGGCCGUUCUUAGUUCGUGUAGUGAUAUGUCUGCCUAAUCGCGUCACGAUAACCUAUUGGUCGACAACCCAAUUAUCACAACUGCAGCAUAACUCCCCUUGGGUGGGCAGGCUCUGUGUAGGAUAGACCUCUGAACAGACGCAACGAACGCGAUCGUAAUCCCUUGUUGAGUGGCCAUCCUGUAAGCUGCUGGAUUAGGAACCCAGUGGUAUUAUCUCACCACAGAUUUUCUGGUUGUA